rnacentral:rRNA from 1 species
GAUGAACGCUGGCGGCGUGCCUAAUACAUGCAAGUCGAGCGAACAGACGAGGAGCUUGCUCCUCUGACGUUAGCGGCGGACGGGUGAGUAACACGUGGAUGACCUACCUAUAAGACUGGGAUAACUUCGGGAAACCGGAGCUAAUACCGGAUAAUAUAUUGAACCGCAUGGUUCAAUAGUGAAAGACGGUUUUGCUGUCACUUAUAGAUGGAUCCGCGCCGCAUUAGCUAGUUGGUAAGGUAACGGCUUACCAAGGCAACGAUGCGUAGCCGACCUGAGAGGGUGAUCGGCCACACUGGAACUGAGACACGGUCCAGACUCCUACGGGAGGCAGCAGUAGGGAAUCUUCCGCAAUGGGCGAAAGCCUGACGGAGCAACGCCGCGUGAGUGAUGAAGGUCUUCGGAUCGUAAAACUCUGUUAUUAGGGAAGAACAAAUGUGUAAGUAACUAUGCACGUCUUGACGAUACCUAAUCAGAAAGCCACGGCUAACUACGUG